rnacentral:rRNA from 1 species
AACGAACGCUGGCGGCAGGCUUAACACAUGCAAGUCGAACGGAGCCUGCGGGAUUAGUGGCAGACGGGGGAGUAACGCGUGGGAACGUACCCUUGGCUACGGAAGAACUCAGGGAAACUUGAGCUAAUACCGUAUGUGCCCUACGGGGGAAAGAUUUAUCGGCAAAGGAGCGGCCCGCGUUGGAUUAGCUAGUUGGGGGGGUAAUGGCCUACCAAGGCGACGAUCCAUAGCUGGUCUGAGAGGAUGAUCAGCCACACUGGGACUGAGACACGGCCCAGACUCCUACGGGAGGCCGCAGUGGGGCAUAUUGGACAAUGGGCGCAAGCCUGAUCCAGCCAUGCCGCGUGAGUGAUGAAGGUCUUAGGCUUGUAAAGCUCUUUCACCGGUGAAGCUAAUGACGGUAGCCGGAGAAGAAGCCCCGGCUAACUUCGUG